GUACUCUGGUUUCUCUUCAGCUCAUAUAAAUCUUCCGCCUUUUACUAAAUAUAUCCGUGGAGAGGGAUAUUUACUUCUUGUUCAUCGAAUCACUAAAACAAACCUGUUUACAUUAAUGGGA